rnacentral:lncRNA from 1 species
AGACCUUGAAUAGAUCCAAGGUACACUUGCCUUUUGGUAUGGCUCUCACUUUAGUAUUUAGGAGGUUCGGAGUUAGCUUUGAGGGGGAGGCUGUAGCUAGGCUAUCUCACUCCGAUACUAUCAACCGCCAUACUUUGCACCGCAUGGGAUUUUCCAAAACUGAUGGAGGUUGGACAAAAGGUGUGGAAGAGAGAGCUGAGGACAGAGCAGAGGAGGAAGGACCAUCCUCAACCCUCCAUGAUCACAGAGCAGCUUCACCAGAUAUUCAGUUUAUUUCUGAUCACGAGGCUGGCCCGUCAGAGUCUGCGAGGAGGCAUACUUCAGUUCAGCAGUCGGACAGCAGAGCACAUCCUUCAGAGAUCAGAUUGGCUGAUGAUCAGAUAGAGGUGAUAUCUUAGCGUGUAGCUUCCAUACUAUCUCGACAGUUGGGUACUUCAGCUUUUGCACAG